rnacentral:rRNA from 1 species
AUGAUGAGGAGCUUGCUCCUCUGAUUUAGCGGCGGACGGGUGAGUAACACGUGGGUAAUCUGCCUGUAAGACGGGGAUAACUCCGGGAAACCGGGGCUAAUACCGGAUAAUAAGAGAAGAAGCAUUUCUUCUUUUUGAAAGUUGGUUUCGGCUACACUUACAGAUGAGCCCGCGGCGCAUUAGCUAGUUGGUGAGGUAACGGCUCACCAAGGCGACGAUGCGUAGCCGACCUGAGAGGGUGAUCGGCCACACUGGGACUGAGACACGGCCCAGACUCCUACGGGAGGCAGCAGUAGGGAAUCUUCGGCAAUGGGCGAAAGCCUGACCGAGCAACGCCGCGUGAGCGAUGAAGGCCUUCGGGUCGUAAAGCUCUGUUGUUAGAGAAGAACAAGUACGAGAGUAACUGCUCGUACCUUGACGGUACCUAACCAGAAAGCCACGGCUAACUACGUGCCAGCAGCCGCGGUAAUACGUAGGUGGCAAGCGUUAUCCGGAAUUAUUGGGCGUAAAGCGCGCGCAGGCGGUCUCUUAGUCUGAUGUGAAAGCCCACGGCUCACCGUGGAGGUCAUUGGAAACUGGGAGACUUGAGUGCA